UGCGGAAGGAUCAUUAACCUUUCAAAAAACAGGGUGCGUCGCGGCCCCCCUCCGGGGGCGGUUUGGGGUCCUCCCCUUCACGCGCGCACGACUGCAUCCUUACUUUACGAGCACCUUCUGUUCUCCCUCGGCGGGGCAACCUGCCGUUGGAACCGAAUAAACCCUUUUUUGCAUCCAGCAUUACCCGUUCCGAAACAAACAAUCGUUACAACUUUCAACAAUGGAUCUCUUGGCUCUGGCAUCGAUGAAGAACGCAGCGAAAUGCGAUAAGUAGUGUGAAUUGCAGAAUUCAGUGAAUCAUCGAAUCUUUGAACGCACAUUGCGCCCCUUGGUAUUCCGGGGGGCAUGCCUGUUCGAGCGUCAUCUACACCCUCAAGCUCUGCUUGGUGUUGGGCGUCUGUCCCGCCUCAGCGCGCGGACUCGCCCCAAAUCCAUUGGCAGCGGUCCUUGCCUCCUCUCGCGCAGCACAUUGCGCUUCUCGAGGGGCUCCGGCCCGCGUCCAACAAGAAAACAUUACCGUCUUUGACCUCGGAUCAGGUAGGGAUACCC
rnacentral:rRNA from 1 species